GCCUCCAGGCCCUGCAACACCUGGUCCGGAAGGCCUUGGAGGC
rfam:Human T-cell leukemia virus type 1 Melanesian variant (mel5) proviral DNA sequence.